rnacentral:lncRNA from 1 species
CUGCCUCGUUGGGGCGGCGAACCAGCACCCACUCGUCACACUCCGCCUCAUCCAUGACCCCGACCGGCGACAGGGAGGGCCGCAGGAUCCGCCGUUCACCGGAGAAAAAAGAUCGAAGCUGGGCGCUGAAGAACGCGAUUGAGAGGAGAUAGAGACGGCGGCGGGAUCGCCGCCACGUGAACGGACGGAUGGGGCCGGCUACGAUCGCCGCCGGAUCCGGUUGCAGAAGCAGCCGGCACGCUCUCCACCGUGCAGCAGUCCUCCUUGUCUUGUCCGCCUCUUGUCGACGACCGGAGUCAGGUCUCCUCUUAUCGGCCUCCGCUUUCACGUAGGAGAACGCCGGUCUUCGGAUGCUUUCGCAUAUACUUUUCUUUUGGGAUAAAUUUGCUUAAAUAAUGUUUCCACAGAGUUUAUGUGAAAUUUAGUGGGGCCCCA